GCACAUUUACGUAUGCAGGCGCCUUUGUUGCAAACCCAAGUUCCUCGCAUAAGAACCUAUUGUUUCUGGCCUUAUAGAGAGCUGCAUUCCGCUUUUGCCGUUGAAAGAACUGAGCUAUUAUUUUCUUUGCUGACGCGUUGCCCGGGACAGUGAUUCUAUGGCAUACUUCAAUGUCUGCCACGGUAAUAUCUUCACCAAUUGUCUUACCAAUCUUUGACAUUAUCUCAGUCAAAUUUUCGCCAACUUCCACUGGUAUUCCUUUUACUUCAACAUUGGCAUUACAUGUAGCACAUAGCAGCAUACUGGUAUUUAACAUCAGCUUGGAGAGCAGUUAUUACGUUACUGGCCACUCUCUAAUGCUGGCUCCCAUUGGGAGAUGACAGCAGAAUGUAUGCAGUUGAAUUGUUAGAAUUGCUGCAGAUCUUUAAGAAGUGGUUCAAGAAUUUUAUGAAGAGUGAAUUUGGUCACAAGGGAUGUCCUUGCAAGCAUUACAAGAUUAUUGGAAAAAUAGCGAGAUACAUAGGCGAACAUCAGAUGGGGCCAACAGCACCCCCUCUGGAGAACCGCAUAGCUUCUGUGCGGAAGCACCUCGGGAGCUUCAUUACAAAAGCAGAUCGCCAGGGCAAGCGAGUCCGAAAGUAAAUCUACAAGUCCAACGAGUUUUUUUCAAUAAAGUGUGAUUAUAUGUAACAUA